GUCCAGCUGACGCGUCCCAAAUAGGACGAAACGCGCGUCCUGGAU
rfam:Schistosoma curassoni strain Dakar, Senegal genome assembly, scaffold: SCTD_contig0002479